rnacentral:rRNA from 1 species
CCUACGGGAGGCAGCAGUGGGGGAUAUUGCACAAUGGGGGGAACCCUGAUGCAGCGACGCCGCGUGGGUGAAGAAGUAUCUCGGUAUGUAAAGCUCUAUCAGCAGGGAAGAAAAUGACGGUACCUGACGAAGAAGCCCCGGCUAACUACGUGCCAGCAGCCGCGGUAAUACGUAGGGGGCAAGCGUUAUCCGGAUUUACUGGGUGUAAAGGGGGCGUAGACGGCGGCGCAAGUCUGAAGUGAAAGCCCAUGGCUUAACCACGGGACUGCUUUGGGAACUGCGUGGCUGGAGUGCAGGAGGGGCAGGCGGAAUGCCUGGUGUAGCGGUGAAAUGCGUAGAUAUCAGGAGGAACACCGGUGGCGAAGGCGGCUUACUGGACUGUAACUGACGUUGAGGCUCGAAAGCGUGGGGAGCAAACAGGAUUAGAUACCCCGGUAGUC